UUAAAAUAGGCUCUUCAGUGGAAAGGCAGUGAUCCCACUGAACAAAUAAUAUAAACCACGUCAUCGUAUAAGAAGGGAAAAAAAAAAUCAUCCAACAGCAGAAAAACCCCAACUCUGGUCCCUUCUGUUUUCAUACGGCAAGAGUCUUGAAAGUGCUUGGAAGAUACAGGUUGGGGAUAAUUCUGGAGAUCCUUGUGAAGUAAGAGCCGAUAAACUUUCAAUAUCUGCUGACUCCAUCCCAGGCUGUUGGAGGAUGUGAGGAUUAGUUUCUAAGUUUGGGACAAAUCUUUCUGGGGGAAGAAGAGGAGGAGUGUGCAAACACAACUCUCGUUUGGAACAAGAAUUAAGAAGAUAAAAUGCGAAGAAGUGCUGACUUGGACUGACCUAAUCGCCAUGCUGUAGUUCAGGGAUGUGAGCCAUGAAGCUGAGGCUGGACUGCAGAAACACUUGGACAGCAGGUUCAUUAGCUGGACGAAGGGGACUCUCACUCACGGCAUUUCCUGGUGCUUUCGUGUGCUUAGUGGAGACUUCAGACGAGCAUUUCGGUGCAAAAGCAUACAGAAAAUUCAGUGGAUUAGAAGAGGCUUCUGUAUAGAAGUUACUAACCCUGUGCUGGAUCAUAUUCAUAAGCGAUUUUAGGGAUCAACAUAUUCCUUGUUCAAGAAUCUUUCCAUCCUUGCUGAUAAGUGUGCUGGAUGAAGGGCAUAAUUAAUUUAAAUGAAUGUCUUGUGCUUGUUUCUGAAGCUUAUCCAACAUGGAUCUUGUUCACUGAGAAGGAAAAUAAAUGCUUUUUUCUUCUAUUUAUUGCUACUCUGGUGUGGGCCACCUACAUACAAGGAGAGAUUUUUUUCGAUACACGUCCCCCCAAAAUGUCACCCUAAAUGAUCAAGAGGAGAAAAAGUAAAAAGGACAUUCCACAUACAUAAAAUAUGUAAUUAAAAUGAUGAAUUAUUGUAAGAUAGAAUAUUAGCCUUUUGACAUUUUAAUCUGAGCAGGAGAGAGUGAGAGAGUGAAUUCGGAGCCGCUCAAUUAAAUUUAGAAUUUUUUACCCUCCAUUGUUAUGAAUAAAUAGAAAGAUUCUGUAGCAGUCUGCGGAAUUAUUAAUUGCAAGCACUGUAGAAGGUGCAUGCACCGUAUCAUGAAAUGGAGUAUCAUUGUUAGUGACUAUAUUUCUUGGUAAUUAAGGCCCAGACUAAUGAUGCAAGUUUUCUUCAGCAUGAUUUUCAUCUGAUUAUGAGGCUGCUUCAUUAAGAGCACUCAGACUAACGAGCUGUAGCUGUAAUAAAGUAAUUUUCUGUCUUGUGCUCUGAUUGAUAAAGAGUUUCUAUAGCUAAAAGGAAUUGAAAAUAUAAUUAUAAUUAGAAAUGGUUGAAUAAAGUUAUUACAGGAUUGCUGAAGGGUAGUGCAAUU